GACGAACGCUGGCGGCGUGCCUAAUACAUGCAAGUAGAACGCUGAAGGAGGAGCUUGCUUCUCUGGAUGAGUUGCGAACGGGUGAGUAACGCGUAGGUAACCUGCCUGGUAGCGGGGGAUAACUAUUGGAAACGAUAGCUAAUACCGCAUAAUAGUAGAUGUUGCAUGACAUUUGCUUAAAAGGUGCAAUUGCAUCACUACCAGAUGGACCUGCGUUGUAUUAGCUAGUUGGUGGGGUAACGGCUCACCAAGGCGACGAUACAUAGCCGACCUGAGAGGGUGAUCGGCCACACUGGGACUGAGACACGGCCCAGACUCCUACGGGAGGCAGCAGUAGUGAAUCUUCGGCAAUGGACGGAAGUCUGACCGAGCAACGCCGCGUGAGUGAAGAAGGUUUUCGGAUCGUAAAGCUCUGUUGUAAGAGAAGAACGAGUGCGAGAGUGGAAAGUUCACACUGUGACGGUAUCUUACCAGAAAGGGACGGCUAACUACGUG
rnacentral:rRNA from 1 species